CUGAGUUCAAACUACGGGGCUGCAGUAAAGAAACAUCCAAAGCACUUUUGGUCGAGUGUGAAAAGAAGCUUACCCAAUGAUUUGUAUACUGCUGGUUGCCGGACACGGUACACUUUUAGAGACUGAAAUAAAGCAGAACGAUGAUACAGACUUUUACAGCCACCUAAUUGGAGUACCAGUGACUUUGCUUCCUGGCAUUGGAGGAAUGAAGAUUUUGGACUUUUGGUGGAAAACUGUCAAUGUGCGUCAGCUAUUCACAGAGGCGUAUCUUGUCACCAAUGCAGACAAAUAUAAACAUUUUGAGCGCUGGGCCACAGCCAAUGAUUUCCCGGUGGAAAACAUAAUCAAUAAUGGCAGCACCACACCGGAGGACAGUCUUGGCGAUGUGGCUGACGUCGAGCUGGUUAUACGCUGCCGUAAACUGCAAGAUGACAUCAUCGUGCAGAUACAAGGAAAUAUGUUAUGUGAGGACCAAAACUUUGACCUUGCUCAAGUGAUCCAGUUCUUCCGGUCAAAGCCUGGAGAGUUGAUCAUCUACUAUGAGAUGGAGGAAGGCGAGAAAUACAACUACAGGGGAAUUGUUGAAGUCUGCCCUGAUUCCCAUCGGAUAACUCGUUUCUUGGAGAAACCCGUGGAAGGGCUCACAACUUCAUGUCUAAGCAGUGUGAUGUUUUAUUGUAUCCAGAAAGAGACUCUCCCAUACCUGUCUGACCAUCUAAAUAAGACGGAAACCACAGACAGAUCCUUUGGAAGUUUCUGGGAGCAAGUGAUCAACCAGAAUCAACUUGAUGUGUUUGGAAUGAAGCUUCCAAUGGGUUUCCACCUAAUUGGACAAGUGGGUCUGUCAGACUACAUGAAGUGGCUCACUUGGUUCUCCACCAAACAACAAGACAAAUCCACCAGAUCAAUCACAUUUCGGUCGUUUGCCAGGGUUGGAUUAAUGGGAAAUCCAUCAGACGGCUUUAACGGGAAAACCAUCGCGAUGACUAUCAAGAACUUCUGGGCCGAAGUCACCUUGGUGAAAAGCCAAACUUUGAUUCUCCUUCCUCAUCCACUUAAUGACCCAACAGAGUUUGGAAGCUUGCAAGAUUUAUUUAGUAUCAGUCGGAAAGAAGGAUACCUUGGGGGCCUCCGGCUCUUGCAAGCAACUUGCAAGAAAUUCUACCAGUUCUGCUGCAAACAUGGCAUCGCAUUGACAAAGAAGAACUUCACACUAAAGUAUGACACAAAUAUUCCUCGACAAGUGGGCCUCGCUGGAAGCAGUGCCAUCGUCACAGCUGCCCUGAAGUGUCUCAUGAAAUUUUUCCACCUCACAGAUAAUGAUCUCCCAAAACCAGUCCGAGCCAACUUCAUUCUCAGUGUGGAAACUGAUGAACUCUUCAUUACCGCUGGCCUUCAAGACAGGGUGGUGCAGGUCUACGAAGGUUUAGUCUACAUGGACUUCAGUAAGAAUCUCAUGGAAGAACAGGGUUACGGGAACUACAUCUCUAUGGAUAUGUGUGGCCUGCCUCAAUUUUGGUUGGCCUACAUGAGUGACCCCAGCGACUCUGGCCGCAUUCAUAACAACGUCCGACAACGUUGGCUUAGUGGGGAGCCUCUUGUCAUUGAAGCCAUGGAGACUUUUACUCAACUUGCUGAUCAAGCCAGGGUGACACUAAAGGAUAGAGACUGGAAGCGGUUAGCACAACUCAUGGACCAGAACUUUGAGUUAAGGAGGUCUGUGUACUCCGAUGAAUGCCUUGGUCAUGGCAACCUAAUGAUGGUGGCCUUAGCAAAGCAGUUUGGCUCAGCUGUGAAGUUACCAGGCAGCGGAGGGUCAGUUUUGGGAUUGUGUCUCGACCCAUCAAAACUACUGCUGCUGUAUGACUGAGCAGUGCAACAACUCAUACUCAGUCAUCCACCACAAAGUCUACAAUAGUUCCGCUGAACUUGCUCAAGGGAAACCGGAGUGCCCGGAGAAAACCCACAUAGGCACAGGGAGAGCAUGCAAACUCCACACAGGCGGGGCUGGAAUCAAACCCGGGACCUCAAAGCUGUGAGGCCAGCGCUUUACCAGCUGAGCACCAUGCCGCAAGUGUAAAGUCUAGUCACUCAUAAUAUACAAAAUAUUAUCAUCACAUUUGCAGCAUUUGCAAUAUGAUACACUCUGGUUGUUUCCAAAUAUUAAUUCUUAGCUGUUUAAAGUUUUAACACAUUAAUGUAUCUAACUUGAGGACCAAGAAGUUGAUAUAGCUUGGUUAAAAGUCAGAGUAAAAGGAACAAUUUCUCGUUGUUUGAUGCAGCUUUUAUCUGUUCCAUAAGGUGGAGAUGAGACAAGCUUUCCAGGAGGCUGGCUGUGUUUUUUGUGUCAUCACGCCAUACGACCCAUCUGCUAGCACUGCCGGCAGUCAACUGUAACUGCUUCCCCAGGGCUCAAGUCAGGCCUUGAGAGGCCAACACACCCACUGGAGGAAUAGCAACAAUGGAAAUGCAAAUACAUACAUGGAUAGAUUUAGUUGGCUCUGUGUCGUCUAACCAUACAUGGCCCACUCCGAAACAAUAGGGCUAAUAGUUAACUCAUUCACUGCCAGCCAUCCCAGUUAACAUGGAUAUUUGACUUCUAAAGCCGUCGAUGGCAAUAAUCAAAUAAACUAUGAAGAAAUUAAACUGGCAAUAAUUUCAUUUUGGGAGCAAUUGUUGGAUAACAAAUUGCAUUUGCGACACACCUUUUAUAUCUCCAAAAUCCUUCCCAACCCGCUCCCUAUGAACAACACCUAACAACCAAAAAUUAAUCGGCGAGCGCUGAUGUAAUGUGUCAAACGUUGAUAAUUAAUCAGGGUGGGAUUCAUAUAAAUAAUACAAAUACCGUAAGCGGGAGGCAAGCCAUUUUUGCAAGCCUCAUGCAAGUGAGAAAGAUGUUUUGGUUCCUAAAUUUUCAAAGGUGUAAGUGGGACUAAAUAGGAAUACACUGCUACAUUUUGGUGUAGAAUCACCAGUAUUUUGGGAAAUAAAAUCAUCUCGAACAUGUCAUAUGUGGUAUCACGUCGCUAUAUGUUCUUUCCUUAAGGAGGUAUUUCAAAUUUUUUUUUUUUUCCACAA